rfam:Ictidomys tridecemlineatus contig010651, whole genome shotgun sequence.
UGGGGUGUAGCUCAGUGGCAGAGCGCUUGCCUAGCAUGUAUGAGAUACUGGGUUCGAUCCUUAGCACCACAU